rnacentral:rRNA from 1 species
CACGUAGGGCGCAAGCGUUGUCCGGAAUUAUUGGGCGUAAAGAGCUCGUAGGUGGUUUGCUGCGUCCGCUGUGAAAACCCAAGGCUUAACCUUGGGCUUGCAGUGGAUACGGGCAGACUAGAGGUAGGUAGGGGAGAAUGGAAUUCCCGGUGUAGCGGUGAAAUGCGCAGAUAUCGGGAGGAACACCGGUGGCGAAGGCGGUUCUCUGGGCCGAUACUGACGCUGAGGAGCGAAAGCGUGGGGAGCGAACAGG